CCUACGCCUAUACAUGUUGAAAAAGUACACCCAAAUCACCUGGUACACACACAUAAAACUAUAUUUACACACAAAUCCGGUUACGAGUGCACAACUGUUUUUGAGACUCAUUUCACGCUUCGGGGAAGCUCCCAGAUUUGUGUGUACAUGGUGCGUUUACAUGCUAGUAAAAGCUGGGACAUCUGAGUUUUACUCGGAGUCUAGUGUUUUUAUCCUCUGAACGUUUCUCACUGUGCUUGUGCCGAAGUGGCAAAUACGUUAGUUUGCUGGAAAACGGUAGUUCUCAGCACUUCCUUAUAAUAUCCUAAAAUUAUUUAUAGACAUAUUGUGCGUUUUUGAAUGGUACAGGAGACUACUAAGUGGUCUGAAAAAGGACCACUGGGUGGCGGAAUGGUUCGCUGGCCGGAAAAAUAGACAGGCAAACCCAGAAGCAAGACGGAGCGUCCAAGUGAUCUGUCCUCUGAACAGUAAUGAAGGUAGACCGGGACCUGCAGAAACAUCAUCUGCUGCAAGAUUUUAUUCACCAGAACAAACUGAAAGACAAUCAGCAGCUGAGAUUCAAGGAGGUUCAACACCAAAACCUGAAGCUUCAAACUGAGCCGUCAACUGAACCAAGACGCCUUUCAAACUACAGUAGUUAACCUGCUCUGUUGGUAGACAUUAGGGGGUCUCCUCAAUCUGUACAGACUGACCUUGGUUGUAUUUGAAUACACAGCUUUACGGUGUUUUCUUUUGUUAAUUGAUUAUAGCAAAUAUUUGAACAUCCAUGUAAGUUUUAAGACAUUUCAUUGUUAACUUUAGGUAGCUGUGAAUUCACCCAUGUUAAUCUGAACCUAUUUUGUUAAAGAUUCAACAGAUUUGUUGCAUUCUUAAAUAUUUAAUCUGUCCUUUGUGUGCAGUGAAAUGAACAUUAAAGUUAAUUCAGGAAAUACUUUUGUCAUCUUCUUUCUACAGUAUAAAUUGAAUGAUGCCUCUAUUAAAAUCAUAUAUUUGUGACAUCAAACUUUUUUCUGUCAUAAAGCAGUGGUCAAACUAUGGCUAAAUGUUUGUAAUUUACUUUCAACAAAUGGAAACCAAAAUUAUUUUAAAGUAAAGACACUAUGUAAACUCCUCAUGUACCUCAACACAGGUAAAGUUUCCACUGUAUCCAAGUAAAUGUGAUUGCAAUUGAAUGACAAUUGGAGGGCUUCAACUCCAGUUCAUAAGUUUCAGUGUCCUCCAAUCUUUAGAUGUCUCUUCUUUAACACACUUGAGUCAAAUCAUAAGGUCAGAGGUCAUUAGCAAGACUCUGGAGAACUUGACUGUCCUAAGCAGCCAUUUAAAUUCAGGCGUGCUGGACCAGGACGUAUCUAAAUGUUGCAGGACACCAGACAUCGAUGCCUGGAUCUGAGGAUCCUGUUAGAAGAUCAGUGUGUUCCUGCAGCAGCUCCAUCGGAUCAGAAGAUAGGUGAGAUCUGAAAGAUCCUGAUGUUCCAGAAAGUGAAAUAACACCAGAACCAAUCCACCAGUUAGCCAUUUUGUCCUGUGUAGAGAUAAAUAUAAAAUGUUAUUUAUACACAUAGAAAGUCAAUAAACUAGAAUCGAAAGGCAAUUUAUUUCAUUUAAUUUUAUUCACUUAGUGAAUAAAGUAAAAGGCAAAUAAGAAUGUCUCACAAACUAUAUAUACAAAUAUCAGUCAGCAACAUGACUUAGGAAUUUGAUUGGAACCUUUUGGGCAAAAACAGAUACUGUAAGAACCACACCGAUAAUUUUUAUGGA